AUGCCGGUCAUAACAAAUCUGAAGCAAGUUUCCUCUCCCAUCAGGUUGAUCUCUAGUAGAACAAUGGCCAAUGUCAUGAGCGAAGAAGAGAUGAUUCGCGAGUUCAACAACAUGGUCACAAGAGAGUCUGAAGCAUAUGAGUCUACAAGCUUGUUUCAGGGCUGGAGCGAUGAUGAUAAAAUAAAGUACAUGAAGCAACUCCAAGUCAAUUUGUUGGAGCAAACCGAAGCUGCUGAUCUUGAUGAAAUGGAUGUCCCGCCCAGCGUAAUGUUUGAUAUCACAAACGACAAGAAGGCUAAACAAAAUUACAUAUCCUCAAUUGGACAUUAUAGAUCAUGGCAAUACUCUGGUUCAGACAAACGGUAUCAGUUUGGGUCAAAGAGCAAACGAGCGUUUGUUACAAGGCCGAGUGGUGUGUUUGUUUUCUAUUUUAGAUACAAUCAUCUGGUCGUGGGGUUGAUUGUUGACGGGCAGAGUGGUUGGGUUGAGGGUGCUGUUACAAAUAACUUAGAUGAUGAACGUCAAUCUGUACUUCAAUUCCAGAGAAAACCUUUUGAGCCUGACUACAUUAGAAGUUCUCGUACACAUAAUCUGAAGUAUGAUGGCAAUUACACAAAAGCAGGAAAAACAUAUGAAGCAAAGCUUGGAAUUUGGCAUGUCCGUAAAGCAAUAGUGGAGAUAGCUAGUUUUGAUCCUCGAGUUACAAAAUCUGAACCUGAACCAAUUCAUUGGCAAGUUCUGACUCUUUUUUCAGUGGAAGCCGGUAGACUUAAUCAUGUCUUUCGUCGCACGUCGCUAUCUCUUUCUGUUGCCAUUGGACCAGAUGGAACACUGAAACUCCCCACAAGUGGGAACAAUUCAUACUGA
rnacentral:rRNA from 1 species